UGCCAGCAGCCGCGGUAAUACGGAAGGUCCUAGCGUUGUUCGGAAUUACUGGGCGUAAAGAGUAUGUAGGCGGAAUAGAGAGUUAGAAGUGAAAUCCCUGGGCUCAACCAUAGAACUGGCUUUGAUACUGUUAAUCUUGAGUAUGGUAGAGAUAGGCGGAAUUUAUGAUGUAGCGGUGAAAUGCAUAGAUAUCAUAAAGAACACCGAUAGCGAAGGCAGCUUGUUGGACCAUAACUGACGCUAAUGUACGAAAGUGCGGGUAUCGAACAGGAUUAGAUA
rnacentral:rRNA from 1 species